GCGGCUACUGCUAUCAGGUUUCGACUAAGCCAUGCGAGUCAAGGGGUCGUAAGACACCGGCGUACUGCUCAGUAACACGCGGACAAUCUACCCCCAGGUGGAGGAUAACCUCGGGAAACUGAGGCUAAUACCCCAUAGUUGUCAUGUGCUGGAAUGCUUUGACGAUGAAAGAAUUUCGCCUGAGGAUGAGUCUGCGGCCUAUCAGGUAGUAUGUGGUGUAAAGGACCACAUAGCCUAAGACGGGUACGGGCCCUGGGAGGGGUAGCCCGGAGAUGGACUCUGAGACACUAGUCCAGGCCCUACGGGGCGCAGCAGGCGCGAAAACUGUGCAAUGCGCGCAAGCGCGACACGGGAAGCCUGAGUGCCUUAACUAUGUUAAGGCUUUUCUUGAUCCUAAAAAGCUCAAGGAAUAAGAGCUGGGUAAGACGGGUGCCAGCCGCCGCGGUAACACCCGCGGCUCGAGUGGUAGUCACUUUUAUUGAGCCUAAAGCGUUUGUAGCCGGAUUUGUAAAUCUCUAGGAAAAUACUUCUGCUUAACUGAAGAAAUUUUGGAGAGACUGCAAAUCUAGGGACCGGGUGAGGUUGAAUGUACUUCUGGGGUAGGGGUAAAAUCCUGUAAUCCUGGAAGGACGACCGGUGGCGAAGGCGUUCAACUAGAACGGAUCCGACGGUGAGGAACGAAGGCUAGGGGAGCAAACCGGAUUAGAUACCCGGGUAGUCCUAGCUGUAAACACUGCCCACUUGGUGUUGCAUCUCCGGUAAGGGGGUGCAGUGCCGUAGCGAAGGUGUUAAGUGGGCCGCUUGGGGAGUAUGGUCGCAAGGCUGAAACUUAA
rnacentral:rRNA from 1 species